rnacentral:rRNA from 1 species
AUACGGAGGGUGCAAGCGUUACUCGGGAUCACUGGGCGUAAAGCGCGCGCAGGCGGGCUGAUAAGUUGGAUGUGAAAGCCUACGGCUCAACCGUAGAACUGCAUCCAAGACUGUCAGUCUAGAGUGUGGGAGAGGAAGAUGGAAUUAGUUGUGUAGGGGUAAAAUCCGUAGAGAUAACUAGGAAUACCAAAAGCGAAGGCAAUCUUCUGGAACACUACUGACGCUGAGGCGCGAAGGCGUGGGGAGCAAACAGGAUUAGAAACCCCAGUAGUCC